GCAUAUCAAUAAGCGGAGGAAAAGAAAAUAACAAUGAUUUCCCUAGUAACGGCGAGUGAAGAGGAAAGAGCUCAAAGUUGGAACCUGUUUGGCUUAGCUAAACCGGAUUGUAAACUGUAGAAGUGUUUUCCAGACACGCCUGGUAAAAAAGUCCUUUGGAACAGGGCAUCAUAGAGGGUGAGAAUCCCGUCUUUGGCCAGAGCUGUUGUCUUUUGUGAUACAUUUUCAAAGAGUCAGGUUGUUUGGGAAUGCAGCCUAAAUUGGGUGGUAAAUCUCACCUAAAGCUAAAUAUUUGCGAGAGACCGAUAGCGAACAAGUACCGUGAGGGAAAGAUGAAAAGAACUUUGAAAAGAGAGUUAAACAGUAUGUGAAAUUGUUAAAAGGGAACCGUUUGGAGCCAGACUGGCUUGAUCGUAAUCAAUCUAGGCUUCGGCCUGGAUGCACUUGCGGUCUAUGCCUGCCAACGACAGUUUUAUUUGGGGGAAAAAAUUAUUAGGAAUGUGGCCCUUCGGGGUGUUAUAGCCUUUUAAAAAAUACCCUGGAUUGGACUGAGGAACGCAGUGAAUGCCUUUAGGCAAGAUUGCUGGGCGCUUUCGUUAAUACAUGCUAGAAUUUCUGCUUUGGGUGGUGCUAGUGUGUAGCGAUGGAACUCGCUUGGUAUAUUUUUUAUUCGCUUAGGUUGUUGGCUUAAUGACUCUAAAUGACCCGUCUUGAAACACGGACCAAGGAGUCCACCAUAAGUGCAAGUAUUUGGGUGCCAAACCCAUAUGCGUAAGGAAACUGAUUGAUACGAAACCCUUGAGGUGGCAGUAUCACCCGGCGUUGACGUUUUAUACUGAACUGACCGCGGUAAAGCACUUAUGAUGGGACCCGAAAGAUGGUGAACUAUGCCUGAAUAGGGUGAAGCCGGAGGAAACUCCGGUGGAGGCUCGUAGCGAUUCUGACGUGCAAAUCGAUCGUCAAAUUUGGGUAUAGGGGCGAAAGACUAAUCGAACCAUCUAGUAGCUGGUUCCUGCG
rnacentral:rRNA from 1 species